ACCCUAGAUCGUUUAUUUAAUUCCCUGCUCAAUCUAAAUUCCUCUUCUUUUUUUUGAAUCGCCGUCUCCGUUUGCCUCUUCUUUUCUCUGGUUAAACAGUUUCUUGAGAAAACAAUUAUGGUUUCUUGGUUUAAGAGAAAAUCCGUUUAAAGUUGAUCUCCAUUAGUCAGAAUUUUUACGAGAACAGUAAUGAAAGCGUGGAUGUUGUAAUGGAGACCAAGGGUGGCAAAAAGAGUAGUUGUAGUAGUAAUUCUUUACAAUACGAAGUCCCUCUCGGUUACAGCAUUGAAGAUAUUCGUCCAAACGGUGGCAUCGAAAAGUUCCGAUCUGCUGCUUACUCCAACUGCGUUAGAAUGCCAUCCUGAUACACGCCUUUGCAAAAUGACACUCUCAAUUUAGAUUAGAUUUUCUUCAGCCUCUUCCCCCCCCCCCCCUUCUACUUUCCAAGUAUUUAUAAGAAUCAAAGA